UGAACGCUGGCGGCAUGCCUUACACAUGCAAGUCGAACGGCAGCACGGGGGCAACCCUGGUGGCGAGUGGCGGAACGGGUGAGUAAUGCAUCGGAACGUGCCCAGUAGUGGGGGAUAACCCGGCGAAAGCCGGGCUAAUACCGCAUACGACCUAAGGGUGAAAGCGGGGGACCGUAAGGCCUCGCGCUAUUGGAGCGGCCGAUGUCUGAUUAGCUAGUUGGCGGGGUAAGAGCCCACCAAGGCGACGAUCAGUAGCUGGUCUGAGAGGACGACCAGCCACACUGGGACUGAGACACGGCCCAGACUCCUACGGGAGGCAGCAGUGGGGAAUUUUGGACAAUGGGCGCAAGCCUGAUCCAGCCAUGCCGCGUGCGGGGAAGAAGGCCUCGGUUGUAAACCGCUUUGGCAGGACGAACGGCGCAAGCCAAUACCUUGCGCUAAUGACGGUACCUGCAGAUAAGCACCGGCUAACUACGCG
rnacentral:rRNA from 1 species